GUUUAGAUAGUUUAAUAAGAAUAAUAAUUUGUGAUGUUAUAGGUGUAAAAAUUACUCUAAAUC
rnacentral:tRNA from 1 species